UACCAGCACCCCGAGCGGUCGGGACGAUUAUUGGGCCUAAAGCAUCCGUAGCCGGUUCUACAAGUCUUCCGUUAAAUCCACCUGCUUAACAGAUGGGCUGCGGAGGAUACUAUGGAGCUAGGAGGCGGGAGAGGCAAGCGGUACUUAGUGGGUAGGGGUAAAAUCCGUUGAUCCAUUGAAGACCACCAGUGGCGAAGGCGGCUUGCCAGAACGCACUCGACGGUGAGGGAUGAAAGCUGGGGGAGCAAACCGG
rnacentral:rRNA from 1 species